GACGAACGCUGGCGGCGUGCUUAACACAUGCAAGUCGAACGGAAAGGCCCUGCUUUUGUGGGGUGCUCGAGUGGCGAACGGGUGAGUAACACGUGAGUAACCUGCCCUUGUCUUUGGGAUAACUUCAGGAAACUGGGGCUAAUACCGGAUAGGAGCUCCUGCUGCAUGGUGGGGGUUGGAAAGUUUCGGCGGUUGGGGAUGGACUCGCGGCUUAUCAGCUUGUUGGUGGGGUAGUGGCUUACCAAGGCUUUGACGGGUAGCCGGCCUGAGAGGGUGACCGGCCACAUUAGGACUGAGAUACGGCCCAGACUGCUACGGGAGGCAGCAGUCGGGAGUAUUGCGGAGUGGGGGGAAGCCUGAUGCAGCAGCGCCGCGUGCGGAAUGACGGCCUUCGGGUGGUAAACCGCUUUCGCCUGUGACGAAGCGUGAUUGACGGUAAUGGGUAAAGAAGCACCGGCUAACUACGUG
rnacentral:rRNA from 1 species